ensembl:lncRNA
GAUACCCUUCGUUUUUUCCUCUGCCUGCUCGUUUUUAGCACACAGUUAUUUGGGGGGUAUUUGAACCGCUGCAAAGUCCCUGAAGGUGGUGCAGGUGGUGUGACACAAUGUGGUAACGUGGAGCAGCGGGCAGAGCUGCAGGGCCGGGAGGAGGACUGCAGGAGGCAGCGUGAGAGCUCAUCUUUGGCUUCCCGUACGCUUCUCAGUUUCAGAGGAUGGUUGAGCCCCAGAGCAAUGACAUCCAGUCCUUUUCUGUGCACCACGCUACUGAAUCGUGGCUGCUUGAAGCCCAACGUACCACGGACCCUCUAAGUUCACUGGGUGUCAUUGCUGCUGUUAAUCACUGGUGAAGUUGCUCGCUAAUUACCAGUGCUCUCCCUGCAAGCAGCCCAUGGGCUGAUCUGGGCAUCCUGUCAGGGAUGAGGCUCAGUUGCUGGCCAGCCAUGCCAAGGGAGCUGCGUGCUGUGCCCAUCACUGCCUGCACAGCAGAACUGCAUCACACCUGGGCUGAGCAGGACACAGAGAGCAAGAAGAGUUCUGCACACUGAGGCCACUAAUUCAGUAGGUCUGAUGGCUUUUCACAUAGGUGAAAAUGUAAGGGAGAUUUUUCAAAGGCACCUAAAGGAUUUGGGAGCACAAAUCCACCGCCGGCACGGCUCAUGCUGCUAAGCAACAAAGACAUCUGCAUAUAUCCUUCGGAGAGCACCCAGCCUCAUUAGAGGCAAUGAUGUAACUUCUGUUAUAAAACGGGUGGUGGCUUCACUGCCAGCCUUUCACAAGAGGAUUCUGGUUCCCCAGCUUGCCAGUAAUGAGCACCCUGGUUGUACAGAGGGACAUGGCUGCUGCCUGCACUGCACGCCGUACGGCUCACCACGUGCAGCAGGGGAUGCCUGCUGUGACACAAACCAGCACACAAUUCACCAACAGAACACCAUCUCGCUGCAGUUACUACGGAAAUCAGAAUUCAGAAAAUUCCUACUUUUGGGUUGUGUAGUGGAAAUGCUGAGUCAGGGCCUGAAGCAGUGAUGGAGCACCUGGUGGGAAGGCAGGGCCAGCCCAGGGCAGCUCAGGUGCAUGCAGUGUGCCUGAUUGAUUCGAAGAGGUGGAGCCAGGGUCCACCCCUUCCCAGCCUUCACUUAAGGGUUAGUGGGGGAGGCAAGAACAUCUCCUCCUGAGAUCCCUGUGUACCUGAGGCCUUCUGAAGGUGGGCAGCUUCUUUCCUUUUCAAGGUGCUCACCAAGUUGAUGGCUGCCUAUGGGGUACUUCAAGUCAUUGAGUGACCAAAGGACUUAUUUAACUGAUGCAACAGUGCAACACUGGGCAGAAGAAAACAACGCUGAGUGGUGAUUCCACCUGCCAUACAAUUCAACGAAGGAGGGAAUUGCUGAUGCUAUGGUGGUAUUCUUAAGGCUGCCCUGAAGGCAGACUCUCAGUCCCUGCAGGUGUGGACAAAGAGAUUCUGAAACCACGCAGGGCCUGAAUGAAAGGCUGUAAGAUGGCAGAUGCAGUGCCCCGAAGAUGCUACAGACAACAUGGGCCUCCUCAUUUAGGAUCCAAAUUACAGGCACUGAUAACCAG